rnacentral:rRNA from 1 species
UGGGGGAUAUUGCACAAUGGGCGAAAGCCUGAUGCAGCGACGCCGCGUGGGGGAUGAAGGCCUUCGGGUUGUAAACUUCUUUUGCUCUGAACAAGGCAUGCUAAUGGGUGUGUUGAGUGUAGGGGUUGAUUAGCGCCGGCUAACUACGUGCCAGCAGCCGCGGUAAUACGUAGGGCGCGAGCGUUGUCCGGAAUUAUUGGGCGUAAAGGGCUUGUAGGUGGCUGGUUGCGUCUGUCGUGAAAGCUCAUGGCUUAACUGUGGGUUUGCGGUGGGUACGGGCUGGCUUGAGUGCAGUAGGGGAGGAUGGAAUUCCUGGUGUAGCGGUGGAAUGCGCAGAUAUCAGGAGGAAUACCGGUGGCGAAGGCGGGUCUCUGGGCUGUUACUGACACUGAGGAGCGAAAGCAUGGGGAGCGAACAGG